rnacentral:lncRNA from 1 species
AGAAAGGCCCCCAAACUCCACAGUUUCAAGUUGUACACUGUAUAAUCCCAUGACUAUCCUCAUGGCCCAUUCCUAUUUGAACCUUCUCCAGGGCUCCUCUGGAGAAUACCCUGGUUCCCUCUGAUGUCUUAGACUUCUCAUUUUCUUACUUUGGUAUUACCCUGUCUGUCCUUCUUUCCUUCCUUCUUUCUCAGUAGGGAGUGAAUCCAUAGGUACUUUACCAUGAACUACAUCCCCAGCGCUUUUUAUUUUUUAUUUUGAGACAAGAUCUCACUAAGUUGCCGAGUCUGGCCUCAAACUUGCUCUCUCCUACCUCAGCCUCUCAUCAUUAUAGAUGUGUGCCACCAUGCCCAGCCCCAAGUAGUUGGGAUUAUGGGUAUACGCCAUUGCUCCCGGCUUUUUUGUUUUUCUUUUAAAGAUUUUUUUGUUGUUGUUAUAGUUUUAGAGACAGUAAAUGCAAAUGCUUCAUCUACCAUCUAGGAUCUGAGGUCUCCGAACUGGGUCUUAAACAAUGAGUAAAAGUUUGCCAAGUGGAGAGUGGAGGUGGUUGAAGGAGGAAUAUGGAGGAACAUCAGGAAUUAGAGGCCAAGGCAACAGUGUGUUCAGAGGCACAGAAUAAUACUAGCAUGAAAAGUGUUUGAGGAAGGCUGAGAAAUGCAUCAGAGCCUUCUUUCAUAACUGUCAGCCUGCCAGAACCAUCAGACACUGAGUUUUUAACCAGAGAUGCAUGUUCCUCCAACUAUAGAACCUGAUGGGGUUUCUGUUAGAACCAUGGGUUGUGUCUCUCAUAGAUGUCCCUGUUUGCGAAGGAAUUUGCAAGCAUGUUUUUGCCAGCUAGGGCAUAAUCCAGAGAUCCUGCAGGUUUGGCAGCUGAAUAUUCAGACAUCAGAGUCAUGACACUGGAGUCACUGAGGACAACUUCUCCAAACUACUUGGUAAGAGGCAGGAAUUGCAGGCAGGUCCUAUGCCUGAAAAGAAAAGGGAAGGACGCCAAAUGAGAGGAGGUGGGAGGUCACUUGAAUUGAACUGAGUUUUAGUGGCAGGCAGCCUGGAACCUGUGGGAGUAUCUUGGAAAGGGAGAGAGGGAUCAGAGUCCUUUAAGGGAAUCCUGGGUAAGGGAGAAUUAUUUUAGACUGAUACAAAAGCGAUUCAAUGCAUUUCUAGUCAAUUUUUAAAAUAUCCCUCAAGGAAUACUGACUCAUUUAUAAAAGCAAUCUUCAUUUUUUCAGAAUGAUGUGGUGUUGCAGAACCUCACAGAUGCCCUCCUGAUAACACAGGUAGAACCUGGAGAUCCUCCCCCACUGAAUAAUUUCCCAGAUGAGUUCUUCAAAUAAUAGGGAUUUAUAUUAGGACUUAAUUUACAUACAAACUACCAGGAAUGUAUUCUCUGUAUAUGGUAUAAAUGUGUAAUAAUAUCCCAUCAGUGCUUCUCUACAUGUUUGGUUUUCAAAAACUGGUUUGCCACCUACAAGAUGUUGUCUCACAUGCCAUUUUGGAUAGAAGAGUUUAUGACAAGCAAACAAGCUGACUCAACCCUCAAACUGAUGUCACCA